UACGAAGGGGGCUAGCGUUGCUCGGAAUCACUGGGCGUAAAGGGUGCGUAGGCGGGUCUUUAAGUCAGAGGUGAAAUCCUGGAGCUCAACUCCAGAACUGCCUUUGAUACUGGAGAGCUUGAGUCCGGGAGAGGUGGGUGGAACUGCGAGUGUAGAGGUGAAAUUCGUAGAUAUUCGCAAGAACACCAGUGGCGAAGGCGGCUCACUGGCCCGGUACUGACGCUGAGGUGCGAAAGCGUGGGGAGCAAACAGG
rnacentral:rRNA from 1 species